rnacentral:rRNA from 1 species
UGGGGAAUAUUGGACAAUGGGCGAAAGCCUGAUCCAGCAAUGCCGCGUGUGUGAAGAAGGUCUUCGGAUUGUAAAGCACUUUCGACGGGGACGAUGAUGACGGUACCCGUAGAAGAAGCCCCGGNUAACUUCGUGCCAG